UACGUAGGAGGCAAGCGUUGUCCGGAAUUACUGGGCGUAAAGCGCGUGUAGGUGGUGGGACAAGUCUGCUGUGAAAGCGCCUGGCUUAACCGAGCGAGGUCGGCGGAAACUGUUCGACUCGAGGACGGUAGAGGGGGGUGGAAUUCCCGGUGUAGUGGUGAAAUGCGUAGAGAUCGGGAGGAACACCUGUGGCGAAGGCGGCCCCCUGGGCCGGCCCUGACACUGAGACGCGAAGGCGUGGGGAGCGAACGGG
rnacentral:rRNA from 1 species